rnacentral:lncRNA from 1 species
CCGAAGCUUGGGGCUUGCACCUGCUGAAACAAUGGCCUGAGAUGUAUGUUGGCCCCUUUUAGCUACAGCUGGGAUGCAGAACACCAAGUCCUGAGGCUACAUGAAGCAGCUGAAGGUUGCACUAUUGGCUUCCCUACUUUUGAGGUUUUGGGACUCCGACUGGCUUCCUGGCUCCUCACCUUGCAGAUGGUCUAUUGUGGGACCUCAUCUUGUGAUCAUGUCUCAGUAUGUUGCUCAGACUGGUCUUGAACUCCUGGCCUCAAGUGAUCCUCCCACCUCAGCCUCUUGAGUAGCUGGGACUACAGUUGCAAGCCAUCCUGUCUGGCUAGUUAUCUUUAAUUAAUGACAUUUGUUAAAGUAACACAAAAAUCCUAGAAACAUUUGCCUGUUGAAACUUUCUGAUAAUUUGAAUGAAGUAAAGUUUGGAGUCUCUGUCUCAUUGAAAAUACUCAAGGUUAAUAUAAUAAAAACAGCAAAGCAGUAAUGCAUAAAAGAAUUAUUAGAAGUCUAAUAAAAUUAUUUGGACCUCCAACUAUAGCAACACUGAUUAAUGACUGCUUUUUAAUUAAUUGAAAGUUGUUCAAUCAUCGUGCCAUUUCAUUUCACCUGAGAGUUUUUAUAAAAGGGUCAGAGCCAAAACAUAUGCUAGUUCAAUUUGCAAUAAGGUAUACUUAAGCAAUUUCAUUCUUCUUGGCAGGGCAAGUGUGGGCUAUUCAUUUCUCAUUUAUUCACGGUGAUGAUAUUCCCUGUUCAGCUGGCUAGUGUGAUCAAGGAAGACAG